UACGGAGGAUCCGAGCGUUAUCCGGAAUUAUUGGGUUUAAAGGGUGCGUAGGCGGCCAUUUAAGUCAGCGGUGAAAUUUUGCAGCUUAACUGUAACAGUGCCGUUGAUACUGUUUGGCUAGGAUUUGGUUGUAGUGUGCGGAAUGUGUGGUGUAGCGGUGAAAUGCUUAGAUAUCACACAGAACACCGAUUGCGAAGGCAGCACACUAAGUCAUUAUUGACGCUGAGGCACGAAAGUGUGGGGAUCAAACAGGAUUAGAUACCCUGGUAGUCCACACUGUAAACGAUGAUAACUCGCUGUCGGCGAUACACAGUCGGUGGCCAAGCGAAAGCAUUAAGUUAUCCACCUGGGGAGUACGACCGCAAGGUUG
rnacentral:rRNA from 1 species